AUGAUUUUAUGAUCAUUGUGGGUGCUCUCCAGCUCUGCAUAUUCCAUGAUUCUAUGGUCAUUGUGGGCCAUCUCCAGCUCUGCGUAUUCCAUGAUUCUAUGAUCAUUACGGGUCCUCUCCAGCUCUGUAUAUUCCAUGAUUCUAUGGUCAUUGUGGGUCUUCUCCAGCUCUGCAUAGUCAUGGAAUAUGAUCAUUGUGGGUCCUCUCCAGCUCUGCAUAUUCCAUGAUUCUAUGGUCAUUGUGGGUGCUCUCCAGCUCUGCAUAUUCCAUGAUUCUAUGGUCAUUGUGGGUGCUCUCCAGCUCUGCAUAUUCCAUGAUUUUAUGGUCAUUGUGGGUCCUCUCCAGCUCUGCAUAUUCCAUGUUCUUCUUUCCCGCUCCCACGUUCCUGGUGGAUCAGGGAUGGCUGGAUGGGGUUGGUGGUGCUGGAAGCUGGCGGAGCUGGAAGGAGAAGUUUUGCUCACACCACGAGCAGCAGGACUGCAGGGACAGAUGCCACCCCUGGGUGCCAACACCACCGACAGCCAGGACCUAGAGUCAACAUGAAAUAAAUAUUAAAAUAUUCCAGUGAAAGCAA